AUCGGUUUUCAUCGACCAAGUGUGGACCUCUAUUUCUGGUCAUUUAAAAAAUACAAAAACAUAAUACAGAGUUUACCCUUUCGGGUUAAAACAAGAGAAAAGGACAACCUAACAAGAGUGAAAAGUUUGGGUUAGGUGACCUAUAGUUCAAAGAUGUUCCUGGUCAGGUAGACUAAAUAAAAGUGUAUUCCCAAUUGCUCCAGGACAUUCGUGUAAUUUACUUGUGAGCUCUCCCUCAAGCCUAGAGAGACAUCAGUGUUGAACCACCAACUGAAAGGGGGUAUUUGCCAUUAGUAUGAGUGACUAUUAAUUUCAUGGCUAUUAAUUUAGUUCAUUAUAUUUAGCCGAUUUGAAUAGACUUUUCUAGCAGGUGAGGCUGUCAAAGAACUAAAUAUGGAGCAACUACAAAAAGUAAAUUUUCAGCAUGACCAAAUUAUACAAAAAGUAUAGGAACUGUUCUAGCAGAUAUGUUUUAGAAGUCUCUUUUGAUAGGCAGGGAAUAAUUGUCUUUGUCACCCUGUCGUCAUGCCAUCAAAUCUGUUGGGCAAAGUACCGCUACUGAUUAAUCCAGUAGACUCACCAGUCAAGUCCCCCUAGUUAGAAAAUGGAAGAAACCCAGUUAGUCAUGUUAAUUAUUCUGUUACAAAUGAAGACUAAUACUUUCCACAUAUUGCGAUCCAAGUUACUGGCUGCAGUCUUGGAUUUUAUAGUUCUAUAUGAAUAGAUUCAAUUUACUAAACUAUUAAUCAUGCUUCAGAAGAAUUAACCUUUCUUGGAUGGCAGAUCUACCACAAGCCUCCAUUGCCACAACCUCCAGAUGGCUUACGACCUACGGCAACUCCUCGACUACUGCAAGCCAACAAAUUGGCUCUUGCACACCAGACACGCAUUUUGCUUUAUUUUAGGUUUUCAAGCAUCUUGCUCCAAUACACAAGUCAGCUUAUGGCCUACAAGGAAAUGCUGAAGCUAGUGAUGGCGAUAGAAAUGGACAAGCUUGCGUGUACAAAUAUGCAACUAGAAUUGCAAGGUUCACAGCCCAGUUGCAUAAGUGGUCGCAACCGUUGGAUUGUAAGCAAGGGUAAAAAAAAAAAAAAAAAACUUCCCACAAACUAGUCAACAUGGUAAAUUGAAAGCCUGUACAAAACGACCCUGGAAUAGUCAAAUGCAGCGGAUGAAUUAAGCCAAAUUGCAUAAACAUCCAAUGGUAAACAGUAUACAAAUGCAAUCAAGGUUGCACUCACACUAGGCCAUCUGGCCGUGGCCGUCGCAACUGUGGCCUGGCCACGGUAGGCUCUUGUACAUACGCCAUCACGUCGCUAGCAUCCAAACAAUUCUACCAAACCUUAACCAACUAGUGAAAAAUGGAACAAAACUUUAGCACACACCCAGUGACUAAUCACCUUGUCCAGGGGGUGUUCCAACGCGGUUUACCAGAGGGCCUUGUGGACUUAAAGUAAGCCACACAUUUGACAGACAGCACCGAAUGACGUUAAACUAAGCUAAUCUACAGGUUAC
ensembl:lncRNA